AUGCUCGCUUCGGCAGCACAUGUACUAAAAUAGGAACGAUACAGAGAAGAUUAGCAUGGCCCCUGCGCGAGGAUGACAUGCAAAUUUGUGAAGUGUUCCAUAUUUAU
rnacentral:snRNA from 13 species